GAUGAACGCUGGCGGCGUGCCUAAUACAUGCAAGUCGAGCGAAUGGAUUAAGAGCUUGCUCUUAUGAAGUUAGCGGCGGACGGGUGAGUAACACGUGAGUAACCUACCCAUAAGACUGGGAUAACUCCGGGAAACCGGGGCUAAUACCGGAUAACAUUUUGAACCGCCUGGUUCGAAAUGGAAAGGCGGCUUCGGCUGUCACUUAUGGAUGGACCCGGGUCGCAUUAGCUAGUUGGUGAGGUAACGGCUCACCAAGGCAACGAUGCGUAGCCGACCUGAGAGGGUGAUCGGCCACACUGGGACUGAGACACGGCCCAGACUCCUACGGGAGGCAGCAGUAGGGAAUCUUCCGCAAUGGACGAAAGUCUGACGGAGCAACGCCGCGUGAGUGAUGAAGGCUUUCGGGUCGUAAAACUCUGUUGUUAGGGAAGAACAAGUGCUAGUUGAAUAAGCUGGCACCUUGACGGUACCUAACCAGAAAGCCACGGCUAACUACGUGCCAGCCGCCGCGGUAA
rnacentral:rRNA from 1 species